UGACCUUCCUCUUUGUGGCAGCCUUUGAGGUACUUGUAGAGGGAUACCAUGUCCCCCCUAAGUCUUCUCAAGGCUGAACAUGCCCAGUUCUUUCAACUCUGUUUCCUUACAGUUGCUAUCUUUUAAUUCCUCCAGGGGCUUCCCAUAUUUUGUAAGAGCUGUAUGUAAAAGUAUAAACUUAGUGCAGCUAGAAUUUGUGCAUGUUUCCCAUGUGAAGGCAGAAUAUUAUGGCAAACUUCAAGAAGUUCAGUUUUGUUUUGUUUUGUUUUGUUUUGCAUCUGCAGGUAGGGAAAACCACUGUUUUUAAAGAAAAGAAUAAGUAAUGGCAAAUCAUUUUGCAAAGAUGCAAUACAUAUUGUUAUUAGAUCACUGUCUUCAUUCUGAAGUGGCUUAAGAAGGGGCUAUAAUGAAUUUUCAAUAGCUUUCCCAGUUUCAUAUUUCAUCAUUAUAAAUGCAAAUAUGCUAUUAUAUAUUCACACAAGAUAUUUACAUUUAUAUUGGUUGAAGGAAGCUCCUUGUACUACUGGUUUAUCUUACAGACACAGUGAAUGAUUGGAUUGAAUUGCUCACAAUUUGCUUGGCUGAAAGGUGGCAAAUCUAGUUUAAAAAGGGCAAGGGCAGAGAAUUGCCAAGGAGAUAGACAUGUGCAUUCACCGCUCUCUGACUAAUGGGGAUCCAUAGUUUCCAUCUCCUACCAAAUGCGUACCUCCUUCAUCAUCACCUGUUUCCACCAGAUGUAGAUCCUUUAACCUGAUUGAUCACUGUUGCAUUGGACUUGAACCAAAACUGGAAUGGGGAAAGAAGGGUUUAAGGGGGAAAAAAAACUAGUCCCCAUUUUUUUUCUUUUUUGCUUCCAUUUGUUUGUUUUUAGAUUUGUAAAGAGGACGCUGUGAAAUAAGCUUAGAAAAUCUUCCCAUCUAGGGUUUGAGUAGGCAGCUUGGUUCCCUGUUUUGCUUCCCGACAUCAUAAUCUGAAUGGCAGCAUGAAAAUGUGAUUUCUUCACACUGUCUACAUAUCUAUUAGGCCUCAGAAAGAAGGUGUCUGUUUAUGUUGAAAAAUGGCCCAGAAGGUACAGAUCAGUUAUAGAGGCUGCUGUAAAUUGACAUUCUUGAAGAAUUCUUGAAAAGGUCAAGCACAGUGCUAAGGGAGAAGAUAGAAGAAACAUGGAAAGGCCAUGAGUAAAAGACACCAUCCUCUGGACUCCACCCAUCCAUAAACUUGUGUGGAUAAGGCAGGUUGAUGACACCACAAAACGUUUGACUGACUGACCAUCGCCCUUGUCUUUCUCUCCUAAAUGUAUUUUCUGUAGUCAAGAAAAAGAGGUGCUGGGGGAACACAUGAAGGUAACAAAUGGUAGACCAAAUCAUCUGGACAGCAUGUCCAAUUCUGCAUUGAAGCAGGGCAAUUGUACACUAAAAAGCUUUGUCUGGAAACACUGCAUGUACAGAAAGUAAAUUAUGUACCCAGCAUGGAAAUUUACUAUUAUGACACAAAGAAGAAGCAGAAGAAAAUGAAAUAGCAUUUCAAAGAUCCAUUCCUGCUUCCCAACAGGUCAAUUUCCUUCAUUCUUGUAUCAAGCAAUUUCAUGCAAGCCUUACUUAGUUCUAAGCAAAGGGUUUAUUGUAACCAGAAAGCAAGGGCAGAACCCUCUUCCUGACAACAAAAAGCAUUUAAUUGCCUGCAUCCCACUGUUGUGGUCUCCCUCUGCAAUUAAUGAAACUAAUGGGUCUUUUCUUUCUUUUUUCGUCAGUCGUGUCUGUAGGUGGAGUUUUGCUUCCAGCAUUAUCUGAACAGCUGAUCUUUCCCACCAAAACCCCUGGUGCCAGGGUGUCCGAUAACUCACUGACUGCUGGAAGUGCAUUUCAGAACAAACACAUUGAAUUACCCAGAGGAUAUUUACAACUGCUGACCCAACUCCCAAUUUCCUCAUGUUGAGCCCCUUUUAAGACAAUGCAUGUUAUGGCACUCGCUGGCUCCCCAGCUGUACUUUCAGAAACUGAUUACAGACCCAAGAAUGAGAAAAUGAUGUACUUAGGGUUGUGUGAUAGGCAAGCAAGGAAAAAGACUUGGAAAAGCUUCUCAGGGGCUUUUUUUUUUUUUUUUUUUUUGGCCUUGUGUUUGUUUGUUUUUACAAUGAUAUCACUGGUCAGCCUGACGGAGAACCUCCCCUCCUUAAACAUCCUGCAUAGUCUGCCGACAACAAAUUGUGCACCACACCCUGAAAACUAGGGCUGGGAUAUACUUUCCCUAGUUAGUCAGAAAUAUUAAAAAAUAUUAUUAUUAUUAUUAUUAUUCAAGCACAAAUCUGUGUAUCACAUUUACAAGUUCAUCACAUAAAUAAAGGAAGCUAAAUUCUCAAAGUAGCACAGAAUUGUGAACGUCCAAGCAGCAGCAGCAGCAGCAGCAUGGACAACACGCAGGGUGGCCACUUGGGCUUCCCUAAAACAGAGGACUGCUUUAGUAUAAGGGAACUGGAAAAGGAAGAGCACACAGUUGCCAUGGUGAUGGUAACAAAGCCAGUCUUCCUAUGGAAGGUCAUUCAUUCUCAUCUUGGACAUAAUGUCUACAAUUACUCACCAUGUGUAUGAGUGGGAUCUCUGUGCCCUACCUGUAGAUGCUGGAAAAGUAGCUUUGGAAAAGGUCUCUUACAGAAUUAUACUGCCAAGUGGUACUUUUGCGUGUUAUGUUUGGGAAUAAUAACUUACUAAUGAAAGGUGUAUUUGGUGCUAUCCUUGGGGUAAGUGUAAUAGGCACCUUUCCCCACCCAAAUCAUCUGAUCCAGCCCCAAUAUCCAAAAAGCUACACCCAACUGAGUCCAUACAGCCUAGAUUAUAGUGUGCCACAUGCAAGAAGCAAAUUAGUGGCCUUUUAAAGGUUUAGGUGACUAAAAUUCUCUUCAGCGAUAAACCUAACUUUCAGAUACACCUUCAAAAUGUUUUUAAUCGCUUUGUUUAAUUUAAUUUACUCAUAUUAAACUGAUUCAUAUUUCCUUCAUUUAUAAGGGAAGUGUUUUCUCUCUUUUGAAAUGUCCAACCAUCACUUCUAAUGGGUGCAGCAUUCUAGCUUAGAAAGGGUAUCAAACUCAAAGCAGGUUACCAAUUCUCUAUGUGUAUAAUAAACAUAUAUCAAACAAAAUUAAAAAUGACAAUAAAUUAGCAUAAGCCAUAGACAGAAGUAAAGGCAGCACUGCAAUAACCACAUCAGCAACAGCAGACUCUGCAUGAAGACUGGUAAACCAAUGAUGUGAUGCAGAAUGUCUGCUCCUGGGUAAUAUGGAAAGAGAACGAAGGUGACCCAUGAAUGCGAAUCCACUUCCUUUCAAGGUCCCCAGUUAAACUAAAGCCACUUUCCCAUGCAUUCCAAACAUUCAUUCACAUAAACGUACAAAUGUGCCUGAAUAACACAUACGGACACUUCUGGGGAUGAUUCAUACAAUCAUUUCCUUCAGUUCCUAUAAAUUAUUCUGGUUAUCUUAGUCAUCAAAGUUCAGUCCUGGGAUCACUAGAAAUAAUGUUUAGCGGUUUCUACCUCCUGAGAUUUCACACAUCAGGUAAACAUAAGGACUAGAAACUUGUGUUGUUGUUGUUCUACUGGAAUCAGAAUAAAAAGGGUCUACUUGAUGUAUUUCUUCAGUACCAAACUUUUUGCUCAUAUGGAAGGAUUACAAAUGCGGAGAAUACACACAGCCUUAAUUAUACCUUCAAUGGCCUUCUAUAGCCUUCCAGAUUGUUAUGUUUUGUCAAGAAAAAAAUGGGCUUCCGUGUGGCCAUUCAUAGCCACUGCAAUGAGUUCUUGCAUAAAUCCUUUCAAAGGGUCUUAUGCAGGAAACAGUUCUGUGCCCCGUGUUCCUUUCCUUGUUCCAAGCAUAAUGUUUACCACACAUGAUUCACAGUAGACUGGAUUCGGCUUCAGUUAUGCCAGUGUAAACCUGGAACAUUUCCAAUGAAAUCAGAACAUUUUUUAAAAAACGAAUAUCAUCAACUGAUGUGCCUUGAUCAGAUCUGUUGUGCCUUUUGUAAACAUGAAGCCACUGAGAAGCCAUGUUAAUUUCCACCUUCAGAGUUGAUGGAGCAUCUCAAAAGAGGGCAAUAACUCACUGCUUGAGCCAGUAAUUACUUCCAGGAUACGAAAUCUCUCCUCUUGCAUAAUUUCCCAAUAAAUUGUCCAGAGAGCAGGAUCUUAAUGUGGAAAAUCUUUUAAUUAUUUAUUUAGUCAGUCUGAGAUUUUGGUAUACAAAGCAUCAACUUUUCUUAUCGAACUGUAGAUUUUCCUCAGUAAUGCUGCAAUCCUGGUUAUGUCUGCUCAGGCAAGGAGAGGAUUGUAGCCUAGGCUGCCUGCAUCUGCCACAAGCAGUGGGGGGAAAGAGCAAUUUCGGAAGGACAAAUCCAUCACUUCUGGUUUCUCAUUUUCCCAAUCAUAAAUUCAGUUUAGUUUGAAAAUUCACCCUGUCUUCAGUUUAUCCAGAAAUGUAAAUAAAAAGCUUAUGCAUAAGCAA